rnacentral:rRNA from 1 species
AUUGAACACUGGCGGCAUGCCUUACACAUGCAAGUCGAACGGUAACGGGCCUUCGGGUGCCGACGAGUGGCGAACGGGUGAGUAAUACAUCGGAACGUGCCCGAUCGUGGGGGAUAACGAGGCGAAAGCUUUGCUAAUACCGCAUACGAUCUACGGAUGAAAGCAGGGGACCGCAAGGCCUUGCGCGGACGGAGCGGCCGAUGGCAGAUUAGGUAGUUGGUGGGAUAAAAGCUUACCAAGCCGACGAUCUGUAGCUGGUCUGAGAGGAUGAUCAGCCACACUGGGACUGAGACACGGCCCAGACUCCUACGGGAGGCAGCAGUGGGGAAUUUUGGACAAUGGGCGCAAGCCUGAUCCAGCCAUGCCGCGUGCAGGAUGAAGGCCUUCGGGUUGUAAACUGCUUUUGUACGGAACGAAAAGCCUUCUUUUAAUACAGGAGGGUCAUGACGGUACCGUAAGAAUAAGCACCGGCUAACUACGUG